rnacentral:rRNA from 1 species
GAUGAACGCUGGCGGCGUGCCUAAUACAUGCAAGUCGAGCGAACAGACGAGGAGCUUGCUCCUCUGACGUUAGCGGCGGACGGGUGAGUAACACGUGGAUAACCUACCUAUAAGACUGGGAUAACUUCGGGAAACCGGAGCUAAUACCGGAUAAUAUAUUGAACCGCAUGGUUCAAUAGUGAAAGACGGUUUUGCUGUCACUUAUAGAUGGAUCCGCACCGCAUUAGCUAGUUGGUAAGGUAACGGCUUACCAAGGCAACGAUGCGUAGCUGACCUGAGAGGGUGAUCGGCCACACUGGAACUGAGACACGGUCCAGACUCCUACGGGAGGCAGCAGUAGGGAAUCUUCCGCAAUGGGCGAAAGCUUGACGGAGCAACGCCGCGUGAGUGAUGAAGGUCUUCGGAUCGUAAAACUCUGUUAUUAGGGAAGAACAAAUGUGUAAGUAACUAUGCACGUCUUGACGGUACCUAAUCAGAAAGCCACGGCUAACUACGUG